UACAGAGGUCCCAAGCGUUGUUCGGAUUCAUUGGGCGUAAAGGGUGCGUAGGCGGCGCGGUAAGUCGGGUGUGAAAUCUUGGAGCUUAACUCCGAAACUGCAUUCGAUACUGCCGUGCUUGAGGACUGGAGAAGAGACUGGAAUUUACGGUGUAGCGGUGAAAUGCGUAGAUAUCGUAAGGAAGACCAGUGGCGAAGGCGGGUCUCUGGACAGUUCCUGACGCUGAGGCACGAAGGCCAGGGGAGCAAACGGG
rnacentral:rRNA from 1 species